UUGGUGAGUCAUUUUGAUGGUAUCACAAUCCAUGGAUCCCUUUUUAGUCACCAAGUCUUUCAUGAAUUUGGCGUAACCCGGCAUUUAUUCAAGAGCUUCCAUUAAUGGAACAUUGAUUGACAAGCUUUUCAUCAUCUCUAUGAACUUCUUAAAUUGGUUCUCAUUCUUUUGCUUCGCAAGCCUUUGAGGGUAAGGUGGAGGAGGCCUUGGCAAGGGAACCUUAGCCUUGGGCACUACCAUUUCCGGUAUGUCUAUUACGUGUUCCCUAGACGGGUUCACAUCAUCUUGGGUCUCCACCUCAUUAUCAUGAACAUCAAUCCUCACUUCCGCAUUCACAUUCUCUUCUCUCACUUGCUCAUCAACUAAAGGAACAUCAUCAUCUUGCACUUGAAUCUCAUCAUUCACAAUUUCCUUUUGCUUGGAGGUAUUCACAUCACCACCUCGACCACUUAAUAUUUACAAGAUAAAGACUUUCUCUAGAAUCUCUACAAGCCUAAAGAUUCCAAGGACUUUCCUAGCAAAUCCAUAGAGAUCUAGGGUCUUCUAAAGGAAAUGUCCAUACUUCUCUAGAAUCUUCUCACAAAUGCUAGCCUUCCUCCUAUAUAAGCUUCCACUUGGUAUUAAUAUAUACCAAAUGGCGCCUAUAUGGCAUGAUGACAUGGCAGGUGAUCACAUUGAGCCAAUUUUUACCCAAGUAUACUCUCAUCAUAUAGCAAUUUACACAGAAGAUGUCAGUUUGUGUAAUUGCUUUACCUAUCCUUACAUUGUAUAAAGUUAAAAAGUAUAAAUGACAACAGAAAAUCUAUCAAUGUCAAUGACAUCAAGUUUGGAUCCUCUAGUUUGCUAUUGUUACAAGUUGUCCAAACUCCAUAUGUACACUACUUUUCAUUUCUGAUGUCCUCUUGGAAUGGAAGUAGUAUUUCAUAUAUACAAACCAAAUACCUUCACGUCACGGAUAUGUUGAACUUGCUAAGACUCUAAUCAAGUGACAAUUCAUGAUUAUGCUCGACUAUAAAACUAAUCCAUGAUAACUAUUCAUCAUAUUCAUACCUAAAGCAAAAAGUAUUCAGAUUUUACAAGAGGUUUAACCAUUCUAAGCUAAUUUAAACAAAAUGUAAAAAUCCUAAUCCCUACAGAAACGGUGUGAGAAGUCUCAGGUCCAAACGUGCCCGUUCACCGUCGGCCCACUCGUCGACGACUCCAUUCCGCCGCACACAUCAAUUUCCUCUGCCCAGUGACAAAGCGGAACUGCUAGCAGAAGUGAGAAAUCGACUAGCGCCGUCGUAAGGAGCAGUUUCUCUCUCUUAGGGUUUAUCUUGAGCUGUAGAAUAACUUUUGCGAGAAUGUAUAAUAAUAGUUUCAGUUUUGUACCCAAAUUUGUACUGGAAAUUAAUUCCUAAAGUUUUUACUUUUGAGUGUAUAUGCUGCUGAGAAACGAGCAUUAUGUGAUGGAUUUCGAUUGUAAAAGGAACAACUCAACUCUAUGUUCUCAAACUGACGAGCUACAGCCGUAAAAUAGUUUUCUCUGGCAUGCACAUUUCAAACUAGCAACAUCAAAGUGGCAUAAAAGGUUUAGUUGUGUUGACACAAUUAAAUUACUAGUUCGUGUAGCUGUUGACAGCCAAUCGAAACAGUACUUGCUAGGAAUCUUCUUAAAUUUUUCAGAGAUUUGUAUGUCAGUGUAAGGAAACGCGUGAGGUGUACUUUGCUGUUAGAAAACCCCCUAAUUUCCGUUAAUUGGCAAAUUAUUGAGUAAUGGAACGAAACAGGAUGUAUUAAGCGGAAAGGAUAUCGAGUAUUAACAUACCCGACCCCAGCUAGUUUGGGAUAGAGAUGUAGUAGUUCUUGUUGUUGUCAUCUGUUACUGAAAUAGCUUUAGGAUCAAACAAUUGAAUUAAUAUUUUGAGCUUUUCAAUUUAUAAUAAGCUAAAAUCUGGAUUAUAAUUUUAGCCAAGUUGCUUUGUUUUGUCACCUAUUUGAUGGGAAAUAUAAGAAAUGAGGAUUACCGAAAUAAUAGUGAUAAUACGAGGGGACGAAAUCAUUACCUUUUGUUUCUCCUUCAGAAUUCAUGAAUAUGGAGUUUUAGUUGAUCAAUAGUGUUAAAUGAUUCUUUGUGGUGUUACAUGCUGAGGAGGAUUGCGAAAGAGGGGUGUAUGCAUGGAGAAUUAAAAUGUCUAUGCUAGCCAACUCCAUUUACAAAAAGUUGAGAAUAUAAAGAUUGAUCUGCUUCUGUAGAAGCUAUGGUUGAUUUUUUGAGCACAUCACAAAUGUAAUUGUUGCUAGCUGUACAUACUGCUCAGCGUUUUCUUAAUGCUGGCAAUCAACAAUAAUAUCUUUUACUGAUCGAAUAAAAGAUUGAUCUGCUUAAACUCUGAGGCGAUUUUUAGGUAGAAAUCAUUCUAUUUCCUUUUUAAUUUUUUAAAUUCUAGGUACAACAUUUGAUUCUCCGUAAAUGAUUUUGUCAAUGAGUUUACUAGGAAAUUUGUGCUUUGGCAUCUUGGUCACAUGUACUGCUCAGUAAUUGUCUUAUACUUAACUGGUUAAUUCGUUUUGAUGUUUGGCAAUUUUUAUCUAUUUAGUUUUCUUGGUUCCAUCGCAAUAACAACCACGCAUCUAAACUUCUAAUUCCUCUACUAUAUUAAUAUCAAUUGAGGCAUUUCCCUUGUCUUAAGUAGGCUGUUAGACUGAGAGGGAUCUGGAAAGUUUAAACGUGCCACCUAAUACUGGAACAUGAAUUCUUUCUGGAAGUAUUAUUCUGAAGAGGAGGUUGCACCCUUUCCAGCUAUAUUCAUCGGAGGAAACCAUGAUGCAUCCAAUUACCUUUGGGAGCUGCUCCUUUCAUUAGUUUAGUGAUGAUAUUUCCAUAGACUAUGCAGAUGAUAUGAGGAACUCAAAGAGAUUGAUCUUCAGAAACUUAGAAGGGUUAAUAUAAAGCUCAUGUUUUGGGGAUUUAUAUGGAUUGAUGAUUCUACCACAGGAAAGAGACCAAGUUCAAUUGAUCUUUUUACCUUUGACGCUGCUGCUGGCUUAUCCAAAUUAUUCCAGAGAAGUUUAUAUCGUUCCCUGUACUGCACGUUAAGAAGAAACGCAUCUUCUUUUAUCCUAAGCAUUGUGUAAAGUUGAGGCCAAGCUGUUCAGCCAAUUAUGGUGCUUGUUUGGGAUAUUUUAAAUGGUACGAUUGACUAUGCUUAGUGAUGAUAUACAUCAAGGUGAACUUUUCAGAUGUAAUAACUCAUGAACAACUAACAAGUAUUUUGACUCAUGUUCCGCUUGUAGUUAUCAAUUCAUCAUCAUUUUUUCCUGUCCAA